UUAUGUUUUAGAAAACCUUUGCUGCACUGCUUUUCAAGUAUGUUGUUUUUGAAGAUUUCACUCAUAAGUUAUCAACACAUAAAUAAUUCUAUUCUGGCUAAAACCGCAUUAUUGCGAAUUAUUUCGAAAAUUUAGGAGACUAUCAUGUCUAACACAACUGGUAUCGUUAAGUGGUUCAACGAAGAGAAAGGUUUCGGUUUCAUUACUCAAGAUAACGGCGGCGCUGACGUAUUCGUUCACUUCCGUGCUAUCGCUACUGAAGGCUUCAAAACUCUUGCUGAAGGUCAAAAAGUUUCUUUUGACGUUGAACAAGGCCAGAAAGGUCCUCAAGCUGCUAACGUAGUUGCUCUUUAAUUUAGAGUCUAUGUAACAGCAUAAAAAUGUCGGCUUAGCCGGCAUUUUUUU
rnacentral:sRNA from 1 species